AACGCACCUUGCGCUCCUUGGUAUUCCUUGGAGCAUGCCUGUUUGAGUGUCGAUUUCCUUCUCCUCGCUCUCGAGCGUGUCUGACGCGCCGGGCAGCGAAUGGGAUCUUGAGGGUUGGUCGGCGCGCACCCGCAGCCGUCCCUCGAAAUCGAGUGGAGCGCCGUGGCGAUCCGAAUCCGACGUUGUAAUCGCAUAUGCGUUCCUCGUUGGGGAGGGAUCGGUCGAGGCCGCUACCAAAAACGGCCACUUGGGUGGCCCAUGAACUUUGGACCUCAAAUCAGGUAGGACUACCCGCUGAACUUAA
rnacentral:misc_RNA from 1 species